GUUCAAAAACCUCUCAACUCUCUCUCAACUCCCCAGAAUCCGACUAGCUUUGGUCGUCGGACCACCAUGGCAGCCUCCGGCAGUCGGCGACGACGCCGCCGUUCGCAAUGGCCAGAAAAUCGAAAACGUCCAUUUUUUUGGGCUUUUCGACUCCCCGACUCAAAAAACACCGAUUUUUAUCAGAAUCGACACCUCCUCCGCAAAAAGGUACAGACAUGGCAGCACACGUGGAGGAGGCAGCGCGAAGGGCGUCUACUGUUGCGACGUGCGGCGGCUGCUGGUGGUUGCUGAUAGGGUUUUGUUUUUUUGUUUCUUGAAAACAUUGUGGGCUAGCUAGGAUUAGUUUUUAGGUUAUUGGGCUUGUUUUGGGUUUGCUAAUUUGGGCCUUUUUGUUGUACAUGGACUGGACAUUAAUUUAUUGAACUUUUAUUUUUCAUUUGAUUUAUUAUUAUUUUUGUUUGUUGCUUCUAAAUGGGUUUGGACAGAAUUUGGGCUUUACAGAAUUUGGGUUUGAUUUAUUAUUAUUUUUGUUUGUUGCUUCGAUUGUCAUGAGUAUUGUUGUCAAUGCAAGAAAACAUUGGUUCAA